GUCUACAGCCGUGCCCCCCUGAAUGUGCCUGAUCUCGUCUGAUCUCGGAAGCUAAGCAGGGCUGGGCCUGGUUGGUACUUGGAUGGGAGACCACCUAGGAAAAUCAGGUGCUGUAGGCA
rnacentral:rRNA from 1 species